rnacentral:tRNA from 2 species
UGUACCUUUAGCUCAGUUGGUUAGAGCAGACGGCUCAUAACCGUCCGGUCGUAGGUUCGAGUCCUAUGGGGUACAU